rnacentral:misc_RNA from 1 species
CACUUGUGAGUUAUAACUCUAUCUAUCCUAUUGACAUACUGAAGAUUAAUAUUAUUAAUUUCAGCUUGGUAUUCUUCUUCCUUUUCUUUUGGUUCCAUAAUUAAUGGAGACUCGUUCUUUACUUCAAGCAAUGUUAUUCUUUCUUUUAUAAAUUGUAAUUCAGCUUUUACUGAAUUAGUCUCUUGUCUUAGAUCUUUUAUAGUUGGUUCUCUUGGCAUUUUAGCCGUUUUGAUUCUAUCCAUAAUUUCUUUAAGAUCAUAUGGAUUUUUCUUUUCUUCAAUUUUCUU